rnacentral:rRNA from 1 species
CUACGGGUUGCUGCAGUGAGGAAUAUUGCACAAUGGGGGGAACCCUGAUGCAGCAACGCCGCGUGGAGGAUGACGCAUUUCGGUGUGUAAACUCCUUUUAUAUGUCAAGAAAAUGACGGUAGCAUAUGAAUAAGCACCGGCUAACUCCGUGCCAGCAGCCGCGGUAAUACGGAGGGUGCAAGCGUUACUCGGAAUCACUGGGCGUAAAGGACGCGUAGGCGGGCUUGUAAGUCAGGUGUGAAAUCCUACAGCUUAACUGUAGAACUGCACUUGAAACUACGAGCCUAGAGUAUGGGAGGGGGAGAUGGAAUUAGUGGUGUAAGGGUAGAAUCCGUAGAUAUCACUAGGAAUACCUAAAGCGAAGGCGAUCUCCUGGAACAUAACUGACGCUAAGGCGUGAAAGCGUGGGGAGCAAACAGGAUUAGAUACCCGCGUAGUC